rnacentral:lncRNA from 1 species
AGAAACAAAACUUGUUUUUAACUUUUUCUCUCACAUCCAUAAGUUAUUCGGUUAACCAAAAAUUGAGUAAGGGGAUUGAAACAUUGUUGGAACGUCAAUGAAGCUUAAUACAAGAGAAGCGACUUGUUAUUACACUGCCUACGAGGAAAAUGACACUUUAUUUUGUUUCCCCUCUUGGAGCCUACGCGCGGCUUAACAUAACAAACUGCAAUAUUAACGCGCUACGCAGUCAUUAGUUAUGUCUCUUCGGCUUUUGUGGAGGAAAAUUUUCAACAAACGCGGACUUUCGGCGGUAAAAUUUAGGUUAAUCUGAAAAAUCAGUUGUUGCUUAUGUAUUUGAUGCUCGUAAGAUUAAUUUAUUUAUUCACAUCGGCUCAUAUAAUUAUUUUUAAUUAUGUUGAAGUUUAAUGAAAUCAGGCCUGAUUUGAUGAAAAUAAUGAACGAUGUACUUUUACAGCCCUCUACAAUGAUGCCAGACUAAAGGAAAAAAUCAUAAAAUACUUUUAGGGAAAAAAAUCUCACUUAUCCAGACAAGAGUUGUCAGAACAUUUCUUUAUGUGCUCAGAAAUUGACAAUAAACUCAUUUUUAACUCUUCAAAGUAUAGAGAUGCGCGGAAGGAAAACAGAUAUGGUUCCUCAAAAUAAAUUAAAUGAUAUGUCCAUGUGUCGAGGAUGCUCAAUUUUUCAGUGAUUUAAUACUAUUCCCAUUUUUGUCAGCCUUAACCUUUGAUAAUUUGUUUAAAUACUUAAAACUGCGAAAUAAAAAUGUAAUUCAAUGUGGAAAAAAUAAAUAAUUAAAUAUACCCACGGUGCUGUGAAUAUUUUACGGCGUGAAAUUUCAUAAAACACAGUUCCUCUCUUCAGCUCGACAUGACGUUGCAUUUCUCUUCUUUUAAACCGUUAUAUAUUCUGAGCCAGUUCCUGUUGCUGGCCCCAGUAAGGGUGAGCUAUAACCCUGAGACAUUACAGAAAUCAUACGUAUUUCAUGAGGGCCAAUACUACAUCAAUGUCAUUCUAGUCAUUUUACUGGCGGUUGGAGAAACACUCUCUAUG